GGGCUGGUGCUCAUUGGCAGAGCAUCUGCCUUGCAUGCAGAAGUUUCCAGGUUCAAUCCCUGGUUUCUCCA